GGCCUCCCAGCGCUUACCACGGGGCUGUGUUCUUACACUGACUGUACAGAAAGAGGAGACAGAGUAAUCAGCCCCUUUACACUUCAGCCCAGACCCUUUGCCUGGUCUGUAUAGUGAAUGGGGGGGAUAUGC